CAGCCGCCGCGGUAAUACGGAGGGUGCAAGCGUUAUUCGGAAUUAUUGGGCGUAAAGGGCGCGCAGGCGGUUUUCCAAGUCGGAUGUGAAAGCCCGGGGCUUAACCCCGGAAGCGCAUCUGAUACUGGAAGGCUUGAGUAUGGGAUAGGGAAGCGGAAUUCCUGGUGUAGCGGUGAAAUGCGUAGAUAUCAGGAGGAACACCGGCGGCGAAGGCGGCUUCCUGGACCAAUACUGACGCUGAGGCGCGAAGGCGCGGGGAGCAAACAGGAUUAGAUACCCUGGUAGUCCGCGCAGUAAACGGUGACCACUGGGUGUGGCGGGUAUUUACCCCUGCCGCGCCGAAGCUAACGCAUUAAGUGGUCCGCCUGGGGAGUACGGUCGCAAGAUUAAAACUCAAAGGAAUUGACGG
rnacentral:rRNA from 1 species